GACUUCUCUCAGUAGAAAAUCACGUACGUAAAAAAAAAAAGUCCACACUCUCCUAAACAUAUGUAUUGCAUCAAUAUCAGCCAUCAGCCAUUCCGAGGGUCUGUUGACAUGCCGCCAGUACAUGACUGCUGUCAUUUGUGCUGUAGGGCACAUUUUGCAUUUCACACAUUUGCAGAAAUACAAAAUGCUCUUGGAUGCAAACAAUUCAGGGCCUAAUUGGC